CGUAACAAGGUCUCCGUAGGUGAACCUGCGGAGGGAUCAUUACACAAAUAUGAAGGCGGGCUGGAACCUCUCGGGGUUACAGCCUUGCUGAAUUAUUCACCCUUGUCUUUUGCGUACUUCUUGUUUCCUUGGUGGGUUCGCCCACCACUAGGACAAACAUAAACCUUUUGUAAUUGCAAUCAGCGUCAGUAACAAAUUAAUAAUUACAACUUUCAACAACGGAUCUCUUGGUUCUGGCAUCGAUGAAGAACGCAGCGAAAUGCGAUAAGUAGUGUGAAUUGCAGAAUUCAGUGAAUCAUCGAAUCUUUGAACGCACAUUGCGCCCUUUGGUAUUCCAAAGGGCAUGCCUGUUCGAGCGUCAUUUGUACCCUCAAGCUUUGCUUGGUGUUGGGCGUCUUGUCUCUAGCUUUGCUGGAGACUCGCCUUAAAGUAAUUGGCAGCCGGCCUACUGGUUUCGGAGCGCAGCACAAGUCGCACUCUCUAUCAGCAAAGGUCUAGUAUCCAUUAAGCCUUUUUUUCAACUUUUGACCUCGGAUCAGGUAGGGAUACCCGCUGAACUUAAGCAUAUCA
rnacentral:rRNA from 1 species